AUGUCUAGGCUUCCACUGGCAGGAGUUAGGACUUCCAAUUUCGAGCCUAGAGAGCUUCCAUCAAACAGCUACCUGAAUCUGGGCGGGCCUUAUGGAAAAUUUGUGCCUUUCAUAAUCGCGGGAGAAGGGGGCUUUGGGGAGCAUAAGCAGCUCAACUGGACAAACUUGUUUUUACUGAACAAGCUUGGCAGUGACAUAGACAGGGAUCAUCAAGAGGUGAUCGAUCAGAUAAAGGCAGAGAAAGAUGUUGAAAAGAUAAAAGAGUUGAUAGAGCGACUGCCUCGUGAAAUUGCUGAGCACUUGGAAGGCCAUGAGACCCAUGAACAGGUUGAAAUCCUGGCAGAUCUGAGCAGGAACAUGGAUCAGAAGAUGUCUUAUCUCAGCAGAGAGAUCCGGCAUCUAAGGAGUGACCUGGGACAGAUGAUGCAAGGUAUCGGAGAGAUACGCGAAGCAUUGGCUAGGAUGGAGCGCCAGAAUCCUUGCUUCCGUCCAUGA
rnacentral:rRNA from 1 species